CAGAACUGAACAGAGGCACUGUAGCCAGGGAAGUUCUUUUUCAACUCUUCUUCCCCUCAGUAAACUCAUAUACACAAUAGUUUCUUGAAGGUCCGCCAUUUUCCUUCAAGGAAGUCAAAUUCCAAAUUUACAGGCCUCUGAAAAGGAAAUCGUCCUGUGCUCCCCCGCUUUACCAACUGAAAGACAAAUUCAUUUCUCACAGAAGAGCAGACCAGAGGAAGACUGCAUGGUAACAGACCAUGAAGGUUCAUCUCACACUGCUGAAAGAAAGCAGCAGCUUGUGACAUCGGUACCACGGCUUUUAAGACUUCCUUGCUGACAGCCGGCAGGUUCAAGAUGGAAUCAAGAUGGCUCUGUAUGGCUUUGGGUAGAGUGAAGUAGGAAGCAGCAACCCACGGGAGGAAACAAACAAGGAGAAUCCCAGAGGAGAUCCUGAAACACCCAAGACAGUGUGGGAA
rnacentral:lncRNA from 1 species